UCCGGAGGGCGCAAUCGUUGUUCGGAAUCACUGGGCGUAAAGCGCGUGUAGGCGGCUCUGCAAGUCGGGUGUGAAAUCCCGAGGCUCAACCUCGGAACUGCACUCGAUACUGCUUGGCUCGAGUCCCGGAGAGGGUGGCGGAAUUCCCGGUGUAGGGGUGAAAUCCGUAGAUAUCGGGAGGAACACCAGUGGCGAAGGCGGCCACCUGGACGGUGACUGACGCUGAGACGCGAAAGCGUGGGGAGAAAACAGG
rnacentral:rRNA from 1 species